rnacentral:tRNA from 18 species
CGGGGCGUAGCGCAGCCUGGUAGCGCACCACCUUGGGGUGGUGGUGGUCGGAGGUUCAAAUCCUCUCGCCCCGACCA